rnacentral:rRNA from 1 species
UACGUAGGGUGCAAGCGUUGUCCGGAAUUAUUGGGCGUAAAGAGCUCGUAGGCGGUUCGUCGCGUCGGCUGUGAAAUCCCGAGGCUCAACCUCGGGCCUGCAGUCGAUACGGGCGGACUUGAGUUCGGCAGGGGAGACUGGAAUUCCUGGUGUAGCGGUGAAAUGCGCAGAUAUCAGGAGGAACACCGGUGGCGAAGGCGGGUCUCUGGGCCGAUACUGACGCUGAGGAGCGAAAGCGUGGGGAGCGAACAGG